rnacentral:rRNA from 1 species
ACCCCUGUUAGGGGAGUGAAAUAGAACCUGAAACCAGCAGCUUACAAGCGGUUAGAGGCCUAUGCUCCUUUUAGGAGAAUGGCUGAUAGCGUGCCUUUUGCAUGAUGAGCCAGCGAGUUACGUUACAUGGCAAGGUUAAGGGACUUUCGUUCCGGAGCCGAAGCGAAAGCAAGUCUGAAUAGGGCGUCUAGUCAUGUGGCGUAGACACGAAACCAAGUGAUCUAUCCAUGGUCAGGUUGAAGCAAAGGUAACACUUUGUGGAGGACCGAACCAGUAGAUGUUGAAAAAUCUUUGGAUGAACUGUGGAUAGGGGUGAAAGGCCAAUCAAACUUGGAAAUAUCUUGUUCUCUCCGAAAUAACUUUUGGGUUAGCCUCAAGUAUUAAUGAUAUGGGGGUAGAGCACUGGAUUCACGCGGGGGUCUACCGACCUACCAAAGGGAACCAAACUCCGAAUACCAUAUCAAAGCUUGGGAGAUAGACAGUGGGGGAUAAGCUUCAUUGUCGAGAGGGGAACAGCCCAGACCGUCAACUAAGGUCCCUAAUUCUACGCUAAGUGAGAAAGGAAGUAAAGUUUCUUAGACAGUUGGAAUGUUGGCUUAGAGGCAGCCAUCAUUUAAAGAGUGCGUAACAGCUCACCAAUCGAGAGACUUUGCGCCGAUAAUAUGCGGGACUAAGUGUAGAACCGAAGUUACGGGUUCAGUGUAUACUGAGCGGUAGGAGAGCGUAGUUUAUGCGCCGAAGGCAUACCGGAAGGAGUGCUGGAGCGUAAACUAGUGAUGAUGCAUGGCAUAAGUAACGAUUAAGGGGGUGAGAAUCCCCCUCGCCGAAUGCCGAAGGUUUCCAGGGUAAAGGUCGUCUUCCCUGGGUUAGUCGGCCCCUAAGUCGAGGUAGAAAUACGUAGACGAUGGGAAGCAGGUUAAAUAUUCCUGCACCACCUAAAACGAUAGCAAUGGAAUGACGGAGUACGUUAAGCAUGGGGACCAUUGGAAGUGUCCCUAAGACUAUGAGAAAGGCUGGCAGGCAAAUCCACCGGCGUAAUUUCAGGUAGUCUUCAAGUGGAGCCCUCGGGUGAAGCGAUGGUGUAGCGCAAUGCUUCCAAGAAAUAGUUUCUAGCUGUUGAUGGUGACCGUACCAAAACCGACACAGGUUGGCAGGAUGAGUAUUCUCAGGCGCGCGAGUGAACUCUCGUUAAGGAACUCGGCAAAUUAUCCUCGUAACUUCGGGAGAAGAGGAGCCACAGAUGGUGAUUACCCUUGCGGUAUGAGCUGUAGGUGGCCGCAGAGAAAUGGCCCAGGCGACUGUUUACCAAAAACACAGCACUAUGCAAAGCCUAAACGGCGAAGUAUAUGGUGUGAUGCCUGCCCAAUGCCAAAAGGUCAAAGGGAGGGGUUAGCUUUUGCGAAGCUCCGAACUCAAGCCCUGGUGAAUGGCGGCCGUAACUAUAACGGUCCUAAGGUAGCGAAAUUCCUUGUCGGGUAAGUUCCGACCUGCACGAAUGGCAUAACGAUCUGGGCGCUGUCUCAACGAGAGACUCGGUGAAAUUGUAGUAGCGGUGAAGAUGCCGUUUACCCGCGACGGGACGGAAAGACCCCGUGAACCUUUACUGUACUCUGAUAUUGGCUCCUGACUUAACAUGUGUAGGAUAACCGGGAGGCUUUGAAAGGGCGUCGUCAGGCGUCCUGGAGCCAUCCUUGAAAUACCGGUCUUGUUAAGUUGGGAAUCUAACGAAGUCCCGUGAAUCCGGGAUUCGGACCCUGUCAGACGGGCAGUUUUACUGGGGCGGUAUCCUCCUAAAAGGUAACGGAGGAGUCCAAAGUUUGUCUCAUCAUGGUUGGUAAUCAUGAGUAGAGCGUAAAGGUAUAAGACAAAUUGACUGCGAGACCUGCAAGUCGAGCAGAUACGAAAGUAGGGCUUAGUGAUCCGGCGGUAGAAAGUGGAAUCGCCGUCGCUUAACGGAUAAAAGGUACUCCGGGGAUAACAGGCUUAUCGCCACCAA